CUACGGGUGGCUGCAGUGAGGAAUAUUGCACAAUGGGGGGAACCCUGAUGCAGCAACGCCGCGUGGAGGAUGACGCAUUUCGGUGUGUAAACUCCUUUUAUAUGUUAAGAAAAUGACGGUAGCAUAUGAAUAAGCACCGGCUAACUCCGUGCCAGCAGCCGCGGUAAUACGGAGGGUGCAAGCGUUACUCGGAAUCACUGGGCGUAAAGGACACGUAGGCGGGUUGGAAAGUCAGGUGUGAAAUCCUACAGCUUAACUGUAGAACUGCACUUGAAACUUCUAAUCUAGAGUAUGGGAGGGGGAGAUGGAAUUAGUGGUGUAGGGGUAAAAUCCGUAGAUAUCACUAGGAAUACCUAAAGCGAAGGCGAUCUCCUGGAACAUUACUGACGCUAAGGCGUGAAAGCGUGGGGAGCAAACAGGAUUAGAUACCCUUGUAGUC
rnacentral:rRNA from 1 species